rnacentral:snRNA from 1 species
UGUUGUGAGGCUACAACAUCUGUCACUCCAUUGAUCUCUAGGGUUGAUUUGGGUGAUCUGGCUGGCUAGGUGGGUGCCCCCUUUCUCCCUCAGUGCUCCCCAUAGGUCUCUCCCAAAGCUGCUCACUCAAAGAGGGUGACCUUCCUCAAUAGAGGAGGACCAGUCUUCAGUCAAGUGUAUAAGAGUAGCUGCACUCCCCUGCUAGAACCGCCACACAAGCUCUCAAGAUCUUAUUUUGUAUCAAGCUCUAGGAGGGGCUUUUGUUCCAGUGAGGCUAGUCAACAUGCAAAUCAACAUACAAUGGGCAAAGGGAUGCAAACACAU